GUUCGAUCCCGAACCCGAACAUCCAGUGUCCGCUCAACUCUAUUAAAAACGGCUCUGGGUCCACUGGCAAGUAAGUUAUUUGGGUUCAAUGGGCGUGUGUCUGAUCAGGCUAUAGCUUCACCUAAUUGUAAUCUUUACAGUGUCGAUAAAGAAAUAACAAAUAUUACUAUGAGACCAAAAGAUGGUCCACGAGAAGUGUCUCAAUGGUUAUUGUUCUGGUCUACAUUGCUCCAGUCACAGCAUUGUAUGAUGUUGGGUUCACCAGAACACACAACUAAAGUAAUGGAAGCCCUUCCCUGGAAGUGUCAAGAUUUUGUCAGGCUUUUUGAAUCAACACCAUCAGACAUAGAAAUGGUACUAACUAGAGCUGACAAGUGGUGGAUCAAGCAUCCUUUCACAGUACAGGCCUGCUCUGUUUCAGCCGUAAGAACAUUCCAGGUCACCUCUGGUAGAUAUACAGAUGGUAAAUGGAGCAAGAGGGAUAAUGAGAACUGGAGCCCAAAACAGGUCUUUGAGAAAAGAUGGUUUGAAUAGGAAUAGUGCUAAAGGGAGCAAUGUAAUGGGAGAUAAUUGGAGAAAUAGAUGGGAG